rnacentral:rRNA from 1 species
ACUCCUACGGGAGGCAGCAGUAGGGAAUAUUGGACAAUGGGCGCAAGCCUGAUCCAGCCAUGCCGCGUGAGUGAAGAAGGCCCUCGGGUUGUAAAGCUCUUUUGUUGGGGAAGAAAAGCCUUGGGUUAAUACCCCGGGGUCCUGACGGUACCCAAAGAAUAAGCACCGGCUAACUUCGUGCCAGCAGCCGCGGUAAUACGAAGGGUGCAAGCGUUACUCGGAAUUACUGGGCGUAAAGCGUGCGUAGGUGGUUCGUUAAGUCUGAUGUGAAAGCCCUGGGCUCAACCUGGGAAUUGCAUUGGAUACUGGCGGGCUAGAGUGCGGUAGAGGGUAGUGGAAUUCCCGGUGUAGCAGUGAAAUGCGUAGAGAUCGGGAGGAACAUCUGUGGCGAAGGCGACUGCCUGGACCAGCACUGACACUGAGGCACGAAAGCGUGGGGAGCAAACAGGAUUAGAUACCCUGGUAGCUA